rnacentral:rRNA from 1 species
GAACGGGUGAGUAACACGUGGGCGAUCUGCCCUGCACUUCGGGAUAAGCCUGGGAAACUGGGUCUAAUACCGGAUAGGACCACGGGAUUCAUGUCCUGUGGUGGAAAGCUUUUGCGGUGUGGGAUGGGCCCGCGGCCUAUCAGCUUGUUGGUGGGGUAACGGCCUACCAAGGCGACGACGGGUAGCCGGCCUGAGAGGGUGUCCGGCCACACUGGGACUGAGAUACGGCCCAGACUCCUACGGGAGGCAGCAGUGGGGAAUAUUGCACAAUGGGCGCAAGCCUGAUGCAGCGACGCCGCGUGGGGGAUGACGGCCUUCGGGUUGUAAACCUCUUUCACUAUCGACGAAGGUUCGGGUUUUCUCGGAUUGACGGUAGAUGGAGAAGAAGCACCGGCCAACUACGUGCCAGCAGCCGCGGUAAUACGUAGGGUGCGAGCGUUGUCCGGAAUUACUGGGCGUAAAGAGCUCGUAGGUGGUUUGUCGCGUUGUUCGUGAAAUCUCACGGCUUAACUGUGAGCGUGCGGGCGAUACGGGCAGACUAGAGUACUGCAGGGGAGAUUGGAAUUCCUGGUGUAGCGGUGGAAUGCGCAGAUAUCAGGAGGAACACCGGUGGCGAAGGCGGGUCUCUGGGCAGUAACUGACGCUGAGGAGCGAAAGCGUGGGGAGCGAACAGGAUUAGAUACCCUGGUAGUCCACGCCGUAAACGGUGGGUACUAGGUGUGGGUUUCCUUCCUUGGGAUCCGUGCCGUAGCUAACGCAUUAAGUACCCCGCCUGGGGAGUACGGCCGCAAGGCUAAAACUCAAAGGAAUUGACGGGGGCCCGCACAAGCGGCGG